rnacentral:rRNA from 1 species
AUGACGAGAGUGAAGAAUAGUUACUAUGUACUUCCAGGAGAACCUGAGCCGAAGCGCACCGUGUCAAACACUCACAGCAUUGGGAAGGUGAUGUUCCUAACAGCUGUUGCCAGGCCUCGAUAUAACAAUGAGGGGGAGCUAACAUUCGACGGGAAGAUUGGCAUUUGGGCAUUCAUUGAAGAGACUGAGGCGAAGCGGGCAAGUCAUAACAGAACAAAGGGAACAAAAGUGUUGACAUCAGUGAAAGUAACUAGGCCUGUG